GAUUUCUGGUUUGGCGCGCUUGGCCCGCCAGGGUUACCUGGUUUGUGUGCUGGUGCGCGCCUUCCAUCCUUCUGCAAUAUCAGUUCCUAUCCUUUACUGGUGUGGACACUGGUAUGCAGAUCUUUUACUUUGAAAAAAUUAGAGUGUUUAAAGCAGGCUUUUGCUAUGAAUACAUUAGCAUGGAAUAAUAAUCUAGGACUUCGGUUCUAUUUUGUUGGUUUCUAUAACUGAAGUAAUGAUUGAUAGGGAUAGUUGGGGGUGCUAGUAUUGGCCGGCCAGAGGUGAAAUUCUUGGAUUCGGUCAAGACUAACUUAUGCGAAAGCAUU
rnacentral:rRNA from 1 species